rnacentral:rRNA from 1 species
GUGACCUCGGAUCAGGUAGGAUUACCCGCUGAACUUAAGCAUAUCAAUAAGCGGAGGAAAAGAAACCAACAGGGAUUGCCCCAGUAACGGCGAGUGAAGCGGCAACAGCUCAGAUUUGGAAUCUGGCCCUCGGGCCCGAGUUGUAAUCUGGAGAGGAUGCUUCUGGCGCGGUGCCUUCCGAGUUCCCUGGAACGGGACGCCGGAGAGGGUGAGAGCCCCGUACGGUUGGACACCUAGCUUCUGUGAAGCUCCUUCGACGAGUCGAGUAGUUUGGGAAUGCUGCUCAAAAUGGGAGGUAAAUUUCUUCUAAAGCUAAAUAUUGGCCAGAGACCGAUAGCGCACAAGUAGAGUGAUCGAAAGAUGAAAAGCACUUUGAAAAGAGGGUUAAAAAGUACGUGAAAUUGUUGAAAGGGAAGCGCCCGUGGCCAGACUUGCGCUGCGCGGACCACCCAGCGUUCUCGCUGGUGCACUCCGCGCGGCGCAGGCCAGCAUCGGUUUUCCUAGGGGGAUAAAGGCUGCGGGAACGUAGCUCCUUCGGGAGUGUUAUAGCCCGUGGCGUCAUACCCCUGGGGGGACCGAGGACCGCGCUUCGGCAAGGAUGCUGGCGUAAUGGCCACCGGCGACCCGUCUUGAAACACGGACCAAGGAGUCAAGCAUUGGGGCGAGUGUCUGGGUGUUAAACCCGCACGCGAAAUGAAAGUGAACGCAGGUGAGAGCUUCGGCGCAUCAUCGACCGAUCCUGAUGUUCUCGGAUGGAUUUGAGUAAGAGCCUUACCGCUUGGACCCGAAAGAUGGUGAACUAUGCCUGUAUAGGGUGAAGCCAGAGGAAACUCUGGUGGAGGCUCGCAGCGGUUCUGACGUGCAAAUCGAUCGUCAAAUAUGGGCAUGGGGGCGAAAGACUAAUCGAACCAUCUAGUAGCUGGUUACCGCCGAAGUU